CCUACGGGAGGCAGCAGUGAGGAAUAUUGGUCAAUGGCCGUAAGGCUGAACCAGCCAAGUCGCGUGAAGGAAGAAGGAUCUAUGGUUUGUAAACUUCUUUUAUAGGGGAAUAAAGGUAUCCACGUGUGGAUAUUUGCAUGUCCCCUAUGAAUAAGCAUCGGCUAACUCCGUGCCAGCAGCCGCGGUAAUACGGAGGAUGCUAGCGUUAUCCGGCUUUUUUGGGUUUAAAGGGUGCUGGGGCUGUUUUUUAAUUUACCGGUGAACGGUUGUGGUUCAACCAUAAAAUUGCAGUUGAAAAUGGAAGACUUGAGUGUGUUUGAGGUAGGCGGAAUGCGUGGUGUAGCGGUGAAAUGCAUAGAUAUCACGCAGAACUCCGAUUGCGAAGGCAGCUUACUAAGCCAUAACUGACACUGAAGCACGAAAGCGUGGGGAUCAAACAGGAUUAGAUACCCCUGUAGUC
rnacentral:rRNA from 1 species